UACGUAGGGGGCGAGCGUUGUCCGGAUUUAUUGGGCGUAAAGAGCGUGUAGGCGGCCUUACAGGUCAGCUGUGAAAACUCGAGGCUCAACCUCGAGACGUCGGUUGAAACCGUAAGGCUAGAGUCCGGAAGAGGAGAGUGAAAUUCCCGGUGUAGCGGUGAAAUGCGCAGAUAUCGGGAAGAACACCCGUGGCGAAGGCGGCUCUCUGGGACGGUACUGACGCUGAGACGCGAAAGCGUGGGGAGCGAACAGG
rnacentral:rRNA from 1 species